rnacentral:rRNA from 1 species
UACAGAGGAUGCAAGCGUUAUCCGGAAUGAUUGGGCGUAAAGCGUCUGUAGGUGGCUUUUUAAGUCCGCCGUCAAAUCCCAGGGCUCAACUCUGGACAGGCGGUGGAAACUACCAAGCUGGAGUACGGUAGGGGCAGGUGGAAAUUCCGGGUGUAGCGGUGGAAUGCGUAGAGAUCCGGAAGAACACCGGUGGCGAAGGCGGCCUGCUGGGCAGUGGCUGACGCUGAGGCGCGACAGCGUGGGGAGCAACACGG